CCUUUUCGUCUGCUCGAUCACAAGCCCCCCACGUCUCCUUUCGUCUGCUCGAUCACAAGCCCCCCACGUCUCCUUUCGUCUGCUCGAUCGCAAACCACCACAAUAGAUUCAUCGCCGCCACCGUUGAAGAAAUCGUGUUCAUCAGUCGCUGCCGUUGAAGACAUCGUGUUCGUCCGCCAUCAUUCAGAACAGGUUCGUCUCCAACAGUUCAUCCGCCGCCGCAACAGUUCAUCCGUCGCUGCAACAGUUCGUCUGCCACCGCAACAAGUUCGUUGCCACAAUAGGUUCGUUUGCUGCAACAGGUUCGUCCACACAAGCUGUCGCCGCUCAAGCCCUUUUUCAAUUUGUUUCUGCCUUUUAAGAAGCUCUUCCGUCGCCUUCCUUCCCUAUCCAUAUGAGAGCCUUCAUGGAAGUCUCAGCUCAUAAUCGUCUUGAUUUUGGGAAGAUGGGUUAUGGAUGCCAGCAUUACCGUAAGAGAUAGUGAGAUGAGCAGACUCUCUGAUCGUCAUUAGCUCAAUCGUUUUGACGUUAAACAAGUCGUCUGUGCAGUCUGUGACACGGAGCAGCCAAUAUGGAAAUGUUGCUGGGAUCUACAACUUUGGCCAAGAUGAUUUACAACAUUCUUUGUUUGGGUUGGUCAGCAGGCACAAUCUCAAUGAAUUUGUGAAACAUGCUUCCAGGAAAGGAAUUUCUAUUGAUGAUAUAAAUCUUAGUUCAAGAGGACAUGGAAAGGUUCAUAUUGUAGCAUAGACAUGUAUAUUUUGUUUAUAUAAUUAAACAUAGAUGAAAAGUUUGGGCUACACAUAUAUGUUGUAAUUAAGUAUGUAAUGACCAACUUAUAUAUGGUUCAUUGAUAUAUA